CGUGGCUUACAAGCCUAAACACGUUCCCCAGUAUUGCGUUAGCCGGCGCACGACGUUGACGUAAGCUGGAGCCCACAUUGCUUUUCAACAAUCAAAAAAUACGUUUGUGGAAGGCCGAAAGAGCGCAGUGUGAUAUCAAAAAAUAUAAUGAUGCCGAUGAAGAAGUGAAACAAAGGAUUUCGUACGUGUAGCUCAAGCUGCAAGCCUUUCUACAGCCACAAGUUUUAAAAGAGCAAAUGUUGUUUUUUUGAUUGUUAGAACUAUGUUUGUAAGCUUAUUAUGUUAAACAUUUCUAUAAUAAAAGAGAUUAUAGACCAUU